ensembl:lncRNA
CCUAAACAAUUUGAACUACUGGUACUACGGCUUAGGCUUUCAACUACUUUCUCUAUCUCUGUUGCUGUUUGCUAUAGAGCACCUUCAGCUCCAGUUUCUGCACUCACAGCUUUUAGUCAAUUCCUAGCUCCAUACAUAUCCUCUGAGUUUGUCCUUGUGGGUGAUUUAAACUGGGAUAUGAUCAAUCCCCCAGAUACAGUUUUGCAACAGUUUGAUGCUCUAAACCUUACUCAGAUGAUAUCUGAGCCCAUGAGACCUAAUCCUAAAUCCUCCUCAUCAUCCACUCUAAUUGACCUUCUUUUGACUUACACUCCAUCUAAUUAUCAAGCCUGAGUCUUUAGUCAAAUAAGUGAUCAUUGCGCUAUUGCAUGUAUACGCUCUGGCCUUUCAUUUAAAAGGCCCCCAGUAAUUGUAUCCAAGCGCUCUUUGAAAAACCUGGACAUGCAAGCUUUUCUCCAAGAUGUUGCGGCUGUGUUCUGGGACAGAAUAAAUUCCUUCCCCUCCUUGGAAGGGGCAUGGUCUUUUUUUAAAAACACUUUCAGUCUGAUUAUGAGUAAGCAUACCCCUUUGAAAAAGAUUAGAAUAAAAAAAUCAAUAUAGUCUCUGGUUUUCAAAUGACCUGGCUGAGAUUAUUCAUCAUAAAAAUGCCCUCUGGAGAAAGGCCCGCUCUACCCAAUCUCCAGUUUACUGGUUGGCUUUCUGUCAAUGCAGAAAUAAAGCAACACAGGCUAUCAAAAAUGCCAAAAUCUCAAAUUUUAAAAAGAAACUCACCACAUGUGGCACUGAUGCUAGGGCAUUCUGGAAAAGGUAAUGGAAAAUAAAGUUAUUUCCCCUAAUUUACCAGUUUCUAUGUUAUUUAAUGACAUUAUUAUUACUGAGAAGUCUCAGAUGGUGUCACGGUUGAGGAAUUCAUUGACGAUCCCUUGCACUGUGUGUGUGUAUUUUAUGAAUGAAUGUGUGUGUGGGUGUGUGGGCGUGGUCGCUGAUGAUCCUCCGGGAAAUCAGCGACAGGUGUUGUGCAUUACCACUGUCUAUUUAUACUCACCUCAUGUGUCUUGUGUUUGUCAGAUCGUUGUUUUAUGGAUGUAACCUGUUGUGUUCCUGUCUCUUCGGCUCCUCGUGUCUCCUGGUUUGUCUCCGGCUGGAAGUUCGCCGUUGCAGUGUAUGUCUUCACUAUUCACCAACACUGGAUUCACCACUUCACGUCUGACCAUCGGAUCGAGUUGUCCAUGCAAGCCUGCGCUGCCUAGUCAUCAUCAUCAUCGGAGAUACCAUCACAUUCAGAAGGACCUGUGUACUGCAUUAGCAUCUUCCAGGAUUUCUGAGAACUGUGUCUGCUUCCCCAUUUUUCACUCUGAGACUGGUGCUAUUCAUCCUAAUAAAAGGAUCUGUUUGACUUGCUAUUGUCU